ACUAAGAUGGCAGACUAGUGCAAUAGAUUUAAGCUCUAUGUAUAAAUUAAUAUUUUCUUAGUA
rnacentral:tRNA from 1 species